GACGAACGCUGGCGGCGUGCUUAACACAUGCAAGUCGAACGGAAAGGCCUGCUUUCCCUUGUGGAUUGCGGGUACUCGAGUGGCGAACGGGUGAGUAACACGUGAGUGAUCUGCCCCCAACUUGGGUAUAAGCCUGGGAAACUGGGUCUAAUUCCCGAUAGGACUGCAGGGUGGUGCCUGUGGUGGAAAACGAUUUUCUAGUGGUUGGGGAUGAGCUCGCGGCCUAUCAGCUUGUUGGUGGGGUAAUGGCCUACCAAGGCGGCGACGGGUAGCCGGCCUGGGAGGGUGGACGGGCACAUUGGGACUGAGAUACGGCCCAGACGCCUACGGGAGGCAGCAGUGGGGAAUAUUGCGCAAUGGGCGGAAGCCUGAUGCAGCGACGCCGCGUGGGGGAUGACGGCCUUCGGGUUGUAAACUCCUUUCGACCGCGAGGAAGCCACCUGGUUGGAAGGGUGGUGACGGUAGUGGUAGAAGAAGCACCGGCUAACUACGUG
rnacentral:rRNA from 1 species